UACAGAGGUCUCAAGCGUUGUUCGGAUUCAUUGGGCGUAAAGGGUGCGUAGGUGGCGCUGUAAGUCGGGUGUGAAAUUUCGGAGCUUAACUCCGAAACUGCAUUCGAUACUGCGGUGCUUGAGGACUGAAGAGGAGACUGGAAUUCAUGGUGUAGCAGUGAAAUGCGUAGAGAUCAUGAGGAAGACCAGUGGCGAAGGCGGGUCUCUGGACAGUUCCUGACACUGAGACACGAAGGCCAGGGGAGCAAACGGG
rnacentral:rRNA from 1 species